UAUCCAUAGAGAAUAUAUGUUAGCUACAACUAAUUUUUGGUGGAAAACAAGGUAAUGGAAAAAGGUAAAAAUGGUGAUAAAUUUAAAAACUAUAUGAAAGCCAAUGAAAUUCCUAAAUAAUGAAAAUAUUUACAAGCUUUAGCAAACAUUUCCACCUUUUAAAAUAGUAUUCACAGCAAUAAAAUCCAAUAUAAAGGAAAACAUUUCCCUGGAGUUUAGUGUUUAAAAAAAAAAAAACCUAUUUGGAAAAUUCCUCACUUUAAUCAAGAUAGAUAUUCAUGUAUAUGAUAGAGCUUUAUAAGUAUGUUCAAUAUUUUUUACUGGAGUCAAAUUUCAAUUAUUUAAUAUGGAACACUUUCUAUCCAAGUAACUGGAAACUUUAAGAUGACUAGAUAACUUUUUAAAAUUAGUGUGCAUUUUAGAUAGAAUUGUCAAACAUUUAAGCCCUCUUCAUUCUUUGUUAUAUUUCACAUUUGAUUUUCAUCAGAAACAAAUAAAUGGAUAAAAAGAACCAUCAAAUAAGAAAAAUGAAAUAUGUAAAAUAAUGAAUUAAAUAAGAUCAAAGAUGAUAAAGUCAGUUUACUAAGAGGAAUAGUUUACCUACUGCAAAUGUUGAUCUCAAAACUAAUUUCACAGCAAAUUCUUUCCAUAAAAAAAAAAAGAAAGAAAGAAACAUGUCAUGGCCAAUAACUGCUGAAAAACUGUGGAGACUGGCACUUCCAAAUGCUUGGCAGAUUAUUAAGCCAAUUUUUAUUGAGUCCACUCUAGCUGUUGGAGGGUCUGUGAUUCCCAACUGUUUCACAUCAGAGAAUGAAAACAAGUAGGGCCCAGCCAAGACCACAUUGGUGACUGCCAGCCCCUUUAUAUGCCAAACAUGAAAGCAACAAGUCCAGAUGCUUUGAUCCUUGCAUUUUUGGAUUGGGCCCAAAGUUAUAGAAAAAAAAGCACAACUCAUGUUAGGACAACAUACAUUAAAACUAGAAAUCAAUCAAUAGCACUGUGACCUUCAAACUCAGUAAAUGUUUGGAGUUAGAUUCAGAGCAUGUAAUCUAAAUUGGGGAUUGCAAGUUGGAACCAGUCCUAAACUAACAGAAAAAAAUGUAUAUUUUUAAAAUAUAGAGAUUAAAGGAAGCAACAGAUGAAGUUUUAAUUUAUACGUGUAUGUGUGUGCAUGUGUAUAUAUAUAUGUAUAUAUUCAUGAAGAAUGGAUUCUAAUUUAAAAGUCUCUAAAUGGUAAGAAAAGAAAGCCAUGACCACAAUGAAAACCUCUUUUUCUGCAUGUAAUUAAAAGAGAAACCAAAUUGUGGCAGGAAAAUAUAUUGGAAGGAAAUUAUGAGCUUUCUCCCAAUUGAGGGUAAGAGAAUAAUGAGAUAAUUUAAGAGGUGAGUCACUUGGUUGCUAGGACACUGUCCUUACUCGCAGCAGCUCUCUGGCCUGCCGUCUUAGGAAACAGUUGGCUCUGGUCUUGGCAGGGUGAUGGCCCUAAAUUCCCCAGCGCAGGUAUACUGAAGAGCUGGCAAUGCAGACCUGAGCUGAAGAGCGGAUGGCCAAUUUGAAUUUGGGCACAAGUAAAACUGCAGCCUCAACCCUAGUAUUUUAAUCACUGCCUGUGGCCGAUGUAGUUACUUGAAAAAGUAAAACUUCUGGGACAGAAAAAAAAUAAUAGUUAAAAGUAGCUUAGUUUAGGCGGACAAAAUCUGGCACCAAGAAAUAAUUAAUAGUAAUCUUGCAUCCUUUAUUUUAUUUUGUUUUUUAACUUCCCAAUAAUGAUUUGACUGUAGUGUCACACAAUUUCUGUCUAGACUACAUUGUGUUAAAACCUCACCAUUUUGUAUUAUAAAGCUUUUGAAUUGUUCCUGGCACCAAACAGGCUGUUCGAGCACAAAAGCUAAUAUAUGGUAAUGCUGAUAACGUUCAAAAACCUAUCAUUACAAUUUGUCUCUCUUUUCUCAUUUUUUUUUUUAAGUAUACUUUUUCUUGGUCAGAAUAGUAAAUUAGUGGUGGUGAUAAUACCUUGCAAUCUCUAUUGACAGGUCAGAAAAGCAAUGCACAGAUAGUCUAACAUUUUCAAAACUUUCCAGGAACUGGCCUCUCCAGUUCCUGGAAGAUCUGGUCUCAGCCUGCACAAAAACAACUUCUUUUCACCCCCACUGCAGUAUUAACUUGCUCACAAUGCCUCACAGCAUCACCAAGAGAGCUAGAUCAGGAAAGAUGAUGAUACUAUCAGUUUGACUGUGUUAUCCACCUGUGUUCUGGGUCUCUACAUGUGUACCCAUGCACAAGGCAAGGCCUGUUAGUGGAAGGCAUAAGAGUAAGUUAAGGCACAAGAUCAGAAAGUGGCCUGUUUGUAAAUGAGCCCAUUUAUCUAGGUCUGGAAACAGCUUGAUUCAAAAUUUAGAAACAAUGACAUAACAGCAUGGAAUCCAUCCUUUGCACUGGGGUUUUCAGUUGUUGCUAGUCACUUCUUACAUAGAUUAAUGGUCAUAUCUUUAUGUAUGUAUUCCAUUCUCUUAAUGGAAUUCUUCUUUUACUUGAAGCAAAUAUUAACUAGAUCUAUUUCUAAAUAGAUAUAUACCUAGUUGAAAAAAGUACACAUCUGUUCAUUUAUCCAUUCAUCCUUUGUUGAGCCCCUAUAACUUGUGAAAGACAAUGUUGGAGGCUGAAAAGAAUUUUAAAAAGUAGAAAACAGUAUGUUACAGUAGAAAGUUCCCGUCGUGGCGCAGUGGUUAACGAAUCCGACUAGGAACCAUGAGGUUGCGGGUUCGAUCCCUGCCCUUGCUCAGUGGGUUAAGGAUCUGGCGUUGCCGUGAGCUGUUGUGUAGGUUGCAGACGCGGCUCGGAUCCCACGUUGCUGUGGCUCUGGCGUAGGCUGGUGGCUACAGCUCCGAUUGGACCCCUAGCCUGGGAACUUCCAUAUGCUGUGGGAGCGGC
rnacentral:lncRNA from 1 species